ensembl:rRNA 5S_rRNA 5S ribosomal RNA
GUCUACGGCCAUGCCACCCUGAAUAAGCCUGAUGGGGUCUGAUCUUGGAAGCUAAUUAGGGUCGGGCCUGGUUAUUACUUGGAUGGGAGACCACCUAUGAAGACUGGGGUGCUGUAGGCG